rnacentral:misc_RNA from 1 species
GAUGAAGAACGUAGCGAAAUGCGAUAAGUAAUGUGAAUUGCAGAAUUCAGUGAAUCAUCGAAUCUUUGAACGCACAUUGCGCCCGCCAGUAUUCUGGCGGGCAUGCCUGUUCGAGCGUCAUUUCAACCAUCAAGCCCCAGGCUUGUGUUGGGGACCUGCGGCUGCCGCAGGCCCUGAAAACCAGUGGCGGGCUCGCUGUCACACCGGGCGUAGUAGAUUUUAUCUCGCUCAGGGCGUGCUGCGGGUUCCGGCCGUUUAAAAGCCUUUUUUACCCAAGGUUGACCUCGGAUCAGGUAGGAAGACCCGCUGAACUUAAGCAUAUCAAUAAGCGGAGGA